rnacentral:rRNA from 1 species
UGGGGAAUAUUGGACAAUGGGGGCAACCCUGAUCCAGCAAUACCGCGUGUGUGAAGAAGGCCUUCGGGUUGUAAAGCACUUUUAGUUGGGAAGAAGUGAUGUUUUCGAAUAGAGAGCAUUAUUGACGUUACCGACAGAAAAAGCACCGGCUAACUCUGUGCCAGCAGCCGCGGUAAUACAGAGGGUGCAAGCGUUAAUCGGAAUUACUGGGCGUAAAGGGCGCGUAGGUUGCUAAGUAAGUUAGAUGUGAAAUGUUCGGGCUUAACCUGGAAUGGCCAUUUAAUACUGCUUAGCUAGAGUACAGUAGAGGGAAGGGGAAUUUCCGGUGUAGCGGUGAAAUGCGUAGAUAUCGGAAGGAACAUCAGUGGCGAAGGCGCCUUCCUGGACUGAUACUGACACU